rfam:Daucus carota subsp. sativus cultivar DH1 chromosome 2, whole genome shotgun sequence.
AAAAUCUACCUGCUAUGCAUCCUUGAUUCCUAAGGAGGCAGGUCACCAAGUCUGGUGGAUGACAAAAUAAGGAGGCAGGUCACCAAGUCUGGUGGAUGACAAAAGGACUGCUUGACCAGAGCGUGAUUAACAGCUCUUUCUGGUCUCUGUGCACCAUCAAGAGCAGUAGAUGAUCGUUCUCAGCCUGGGUUCCUCCUGGCUGGGGUGGUCAAGCAGUUGUCUGACAGACC